GGGGAAAUAGCUUAGAGGUUAAAAGCACUGGCUGCUCUUCCAGAGGUUCUGGAUUCAAUUCCCAGCAUUCACA
rnacentral:tRNA from 1 species